GGCUGUAGCUCAGUGGUAGAGCACUUGCCUUACACACAUGAGGCCUGGGUUCAAUCCUCAGCACCA
rnacentral:tRNA from 1 species